GCCGCAGCCUGCCCGGCGGAGGACAGACGCUCGCCGCGCUCUCUAGCCCAUUGGCUGGCGCCUGCGCCGCCCAGCACAGCCUCACUCGUGAGCUGAGUUCGCCGGGCCUCGGCAGCGGGGCUGGGAAGGCGUCUGCUCUGGGCUCCUAACUUUGCUCUUAAAGACAUCAAAGGUCUGAUUCAGAAGAAGUAUAUUUGGCUUUUACAUCUGGCUGCAGAAACAGAAGGAAGUCAUUUUUUCAAGGAAUGUGCAACUUUGCAUAGAAAUCAGAGAUGCCUUUUUCUCAUGAAUCACACCACACAACAGGUAUCUUCCUUGAGUGUCUGGGGGAAGGAGUUCUACACUGCAGUGAAAUGGGCCCAGAUCCAGCUGGCUAAAGGCUUCUCAACAAAGAGCAGAAAUGUAACUAACUACAAAAUGUGAAAAGUUACAAAACAAAAACGAAUGACAAUUUUUCAUAAAGGCAACAUGGCCUAAUAAUAUAAAAACAGAGACAGAAAAAACAAAAAUCGCUACCAUAGCCCGUCCCUUAAACUAGAGCCUAAUCCUGAGAGAGGCUCAGCACCCACAGCUCUCUCUGUCUUCACUGCAAGUGCUCAGCCGUUCUCAGGAUCAGGCCACAGUUGCAGAAUCACCAAGUCUUGUGGAUGACAGUAAGAAUCUCCCCCACCAGCCACCCACAGAUAUAGGGCAGGUGUCAUCCAUUCUCAUUGAUGGGUUUCUUUGCAGUUACAACCUCUGAGUAAUUGUACAUGGAAGUACCUAGUAAAGCUCAUUUGAGAAAUCCAGCCAAGAUGUCAGUGAAAUGGAUCACCGUGGAAACGUCAAUAGGAAAAAAAAAGUAUCCACAAAUUGCAAAUCUUGUCAACCAGCUUGGUGUGUGUCUUAUUGAUAGUCAGGAGCUCUACUGAACAAGUGAAAUCCUCCUCACUCCCCCAGUGAUAUUUCCAUCUUACCAGUGUUUUAAGUUCAGCCAGCUGUCAUCUAUCUGCAACAUGGCAGGAGUCCUGACAGUUUUGAAAUACAUUCACGUUGGUUGGAAGAUACAAUAAUUUAGGUCUAGAUAUCAUCAUUCUGAUAGCUCAAGACCAUACAGUUCUAUCAAUUUUCACACAUUCUACAAUGGUGGCAUACCUGAUCCCUGGAACACCGAAUAUGGAAGGAUGCCAGAGGCAGAUGAGUAAUCACUCGUACUUCAGUCAGAAUAUAAAUAUGUGAUGUUCAGACAUGUAGAGCAGUUGAAACUGAUAGAAGGAAGAAAGAGAUCUUGGAAUCAUUCUGGAUAGUUCUCUGAAACCAUCUUCUUGAUGUGCAGCAGCAAACAAAAAAGCUAAACGUGCUAGGAACUACUACCAGAGAGAUAAUAAUAAGACAGAAAAUAUAAUGACACUACAGAAAUCCAUGAUAUACCCACAUCUUGAAUACUGCAUGUAAUUUGGUCACCUCAUCUCAAAAACAAUAUAUUAGAAUUGGAAAAAGUAUGGAGAAGGAUAACAAAAAUGAUUGGUAUAUGGAACAACUUUCAUACAAAGAGAGAUUAAUAAUACUGGGAUUGUUCAGCUGAGACAAGAGGCCUAAAAAGAGAUGUGAUGGAGCUCUAUACAAUGAUGAAUGAUAUGUAGAAACUAAAUAAGGAAGUGUUAUUUACCCCUUCCCAUAACACAAGAUCUGCGGGUCAUCUAAUGAAAUUAAUAGGCAACAGGUUUUAAACAAACAUAAGGAAAUAUUUCCUCACACAAUGCACAGUCAACCUAUGGAACUCAUUGCCAGCGGAUGUUGUGAAGGCCAAAAGUAUAAAUGGUCUAAAAAAAAAAUAAGACAAGUUCAUGAGGAAUAGGUCCACCAAUGGCCAUUAGCCAAGAUGGUCAGGGAUGCAACCCCUGCCUUGGGUGUUCCUAAGCCUCUGAGUGCCAGAAUCAGGGGCUGGAUGACCGGGGAUGGAUCAUUCAAUAAAUGCCCUGUUCUGUUCAUACCCUCUGAAGCACUUGGCACUGGCCACUAUCAGAAAACAAGAUACUGGGCUAGAUGGAUCAUUAGUCUGACCCAAUGUGGUCAUUCUUCUGAAAUUACUUCACUGGUGAACAAGAAGCCAACACAGAGGCCAAAGCGCUUAGGAAAUACAGUCUAUCAGAGAGCCUGUGUAAGAAUCUCUUUGCCACAUUCUGAACGUCUUGAUGAUGCUGGACACCAACAGCUGAAGCAUGAAGUCCAUUGUAUAGAGCUGCAUGAAAGAAAGGCACUACUAGCUGAACCAGACGAAAACUGUAAACAUGUGGCCAGUGUGACACAGGACAGAACAACAUUCAGCACAGGACAGAGAUGUAACCCAAUUGGUUACAUCACCCAAAUGAAAAACAAAAAACAAACAAACAAAAAGCAGACAAAAUGAUGCAAGUUGAUCAAGAACUGAAAAAGAUAUAUCACUACAUUUCACCAACGGAAAAUACACUUCACCUGUAAAUAGUGACCCAUACAAGAUGAGGGCAGAGAAGUAUGAAGUAAAAAAUCCAAGUGUUAAGAUGUUCCUCAAAUGCCUUGGUGUGAGAAUCCUCUCACAUUGUGUCUGAACUAUGGAAAGGCUGGAGAGGAUCAGAGAUGGGAUUUUGAGAUUGCCAGACAUUUUUAAAGAUCUACCCUUGAAGACCUAAAAAUAUGAUGGUUCUUAGAUCAGAAGAUUGAAGAAGGAGAUUGAUCAAAUAUGGCAGAAAGAAGACGUUGAUUCCUUCUUAGUGGCAUAGUGUUUUGGUUGCUGGUUGCUUUAGGAAUCAUCCGGCUAUGCCUAUCAUAUAAUAUAAUGGAGAAUAUAUCUAAUAAUAAGUCUGAUAAACUCAAUCUGUCAGUAGCUAAGUGAUACUAAAACCAUAAAAUAUGGACUAAUUGUAAAACAUAGAAAUGUCCUCUUUAUUUCCUGUGUAAGAGUGGUAAAUUAAGGGUUAGGUAUGGAUAAUGUUACUUGCCUACUUCCAAGGUUGCUUCAAUAAUACUUUAUUAAGAACCAUCUGGUCUUUUUAAUGUUUUAUUAAGGACCAUCUGACUGUUGCAUUGUUCAAGAUAUUGAAUAUUACGAUUUUAGCAUAAAUAAAGCAAAAGGAAUAGCUAUGAAGACCACAGAUAAGAGCACAAAACAUUUUAUGUAGGUCCUACAUAAACUUUAAAAAAAUCCAAAAAGUAUUUAAAUAUUCCACACCAGAAGAUAAGGAUUUUUGCAAAUAUAAAUUAAAAUUUGGAACCAAACUUCUUGACAGUAUCUCUAAAAAUGAUAAGCUUCUGUCUUACACAUUUAGGAGAUUGCCUUCACAUAUUUCAGAGUGGUAGCCAUGUUAGUCUGUAUCAGCAAAAAGAACAGGAGUACUUGUGGC